AUUGCCUCUCAGGACUCUUCAGCAUCUGGAGAUCUCAUUAACAUGUCUUUGUGUGAAGACAUGUUGCUUUGUAAUUAUCGUCACAUCAAACUCUCUGGUUAUGCCUGGGUCACUGCCUGUUCUCAUAUCUUCUGUGAUCAGCAUGGCAGUGGUGAAUUUAGUCGUUCACCAGCUAUCUGCCCUGCCUGCAACAGUACCCUUUCUGGAAAGCUGGAUAUUGUCCGCACUGAACUCAGUCCUUCAGAGGAAUAUAAAGCUAUGGUGUUGGCAGGGCUGCUACCAGAGAUUGUGUUAGACAUUAGCUUCCGAGCACUGGCUUUCUGGACAUAUCAGGUACAUCAGGAACGUCUCUAUCAAGAAUAUAAUUUUAGCAAGGCUGAGGGUCAUCUGAAACAGAUGGAGAAAAUAUAUACUCAGCAAAUACAGAGCAAAGAUAUAGAAUUGACCUCUAUGAAAGGGGAGGUCACCUCUAUGAAGAAAGUGCUAGAAGAAUACAAGAAAAAGUUCAGUGACAUCCCAGAGAAACUUAUGGAGCAUAAUCGUCAGUAUCAAAAGCUCCAAGGUCUCUAUGAUAGCCUUAGGCUACGGAAUAUCACUAUUGCUAACCAAGAAAGUACUCUUGAACCAUCUUUGGUAGCACAGUCUGGUGUUUUUGGCUUCCCAUAAGGUAACAGCUCCAAGUUUCCUUUGGACAAUACACCAGUUCGAAAUCAGGGUGGUGGAGAUGGAGAUUUUCAGUUUAGACCAUUUUUUGUGGGUUCUCCUACAGCACCUGAAGCCAGCAACAGCUUUUUUAGUUUUGCCUCUCAAGGCCAUGAAUUAGAACAGCAACAAGUCUCUAGCAGGGCCUUCAAAGUAAAAAGAAUUUAG